AUUUUGCAUCAGUGAAUAAAGGCCUGGACAGAGAUCGAGUCAGAAGUUGUGCCGGUUCUUAUGGUGCAGUGCCAAGUCCAUUUCCUGUGGAUUAAGUCCUAAAUCCUCCUAGUUUAAAAACAAAAAUCUGUUCUCUUGGCACUGGAGGGCUGAAGGUUCUUGAGAUUCUGGUCCAGUCUCUGCACACUCCUGGUUCGAAUCAGUAGGAGCUUGCUGGUUUGAUUUUACAGAGGUAUAAAAUGUGGGUAACAGGAAAAGUUGUGACUGUGGUCCGUUUCUGUCCUCAUGUACUUAGUGCUUCUUCUGAAGCAGAGUCUGUGCUAAAGGCAUUACCUACUGUCUUCUUUCAGGUUAACUGGAGAGGCAGCAAUCUCACUUCACCGAUGGGGAAACUGAGACUUAGCAACUUACCCAAGAUUGGGAAAUGGCCACUGGAGAGGUUACACAUUUCCUUCAAGGUCAAGGACUGGGACCAGAGGAACAGCACCAUAUCCAAGGAUAUAAACAGUGAAAAUAUAGGGCAGGAGGUUUUUUAAUUCAUUCCUCAAAAAUAUUUAUUGAGCAAGAAUUCUGUCACAAGCACUGUGAUGUGUGUUGGCAACACAGCAGAAAUAAGGACAAUCAAACAUCUUGCAACUCUCUUUGCAAUAGCUAAGACAUGAAAGCAAACUGAAUGUCCAUUGACAGAGGAUGGAUAAAGAAGAUGUGGUACGUAUACACAAAGGAAUAUUACUCGGCCAUAAAAAGGAAUGAAAUAAUGCCACUUGCAGCAACAUGGAUGGACCUAGAGAUUAUGAUACUAAGUGAAAUAAGUCAGAAAGAGAAAGACAAAUACCAUAUGAUAUGACUUAUAUAUAUGUGUAGUCUAAAAUAUGACACAAAUGAACUUAUUUAUAAAACAGAGAUAGACUCACAGACAUAGAAAACAAACUUACAGUUACCAAAGGGAAAGUAAAAGAAGGUGGGGAGAUAAAUUUGGAGAUUGGGAUUAGCAGAUACCAAAUAUAUAUAUAAAAUAGAUGAAUGAAUCCCACUGUAUAACACAGUAAAUUACAUUCAAUAUCUUGUAAUAAACCAUAAUGGAAAAGAAAAAAAAAUAAAACA
rnacentral:lncRNA from 1 species